CCUACGGGUGGCUGCAGUGGGGAAUAUUGCACAAUGGGCGCAAGCCUGAUGCAGCGACGCCGCGUGGGGGAUGACGGCCUUCGGGUUGUAAACCUCUUUCAGUGCCGACGAAGCGUAAGUGACGGUAGGCACAGAAGAAGCACCGGCCAACUACGUGCCAGCAGCCGCGGUAAUACGUAGGGUGCGAGCGUUGUCCGGAAUUACUGGGCGUAAAGAGCUCGUAGGUGGUUUGUCGCGUUGUUCGUGAAAACCGGGGGCUUAACCCUCGGCGUGCGGGCGA
rnacentral:rRNA from 1 species